rnacentral:rRNA from 1 species
GACGAACGCUGGCGGCGUGCUUAACACAUGCAAGUCGAACGGAAAGGCCCUGCUUUUGUGGGGUGCUCGAGUGGCGAACGGGUGAGUAACACGUGAGUAACCUGCCCUUGACUUUGGGAUAACUUCAGGAAACUGGGGCUAAUACCGGAUAGGAGCUCCUGCUGCAUGGUGGGGGGUGGAAAGUUUCGGCGGGCGGGGAUGGACUCGCGGCUUAUCAGCUUGUUGGUGGGGUAGUGGCUUACCAAGGCUUUGACGGGUAGCCGGCCUGAGAGCGUGACCGGCCACAUGGGGACUGAGAGACGGCCCAGACUGGUACGGGAGGCAGCAGUGGGGAGUAUGGCACAAUGGGCGGAAGCCUGAUGCAGAAACGCCGCGUGCGGGAUGACGGCCCUCGGGUUGUAAACCGCUUUCGCCUGUGACGAAGCGUGAGUGACGGUAAUGGGUAAAGAAGCACCGGCUAACUACGUG